rnacentral:rRNA from 1 species
AGCAGCCGCGGUAAUUCCAGCUCCAAUAGCGUAUAUUAAAGUUGUUGCAGUUAAAAAGCUCGUAGUUGAAUUUCGGGGUCAGUAGGUUGGUCAUGCCUUCGGUAUGUACUGGUCUCACUGAUUCCUCCCUCUUGAAGAACUGUAAUGUCAUUAAUUUGGUGUUGCGGGGAAACAGGACUGUUACUUUGAAAAAUUAGAGUGUUUAAAGCAGGCUCACGCUUGAAUACAUUAGCAUGGAAUAAUGAAAUAGGACGUUCGAUCCUAUUUUGUUGGUUUCUAGGAUUGACGUAAUGAUUAAUAGGGAUAGUUGGGGGCAUUAGUAUUCAAUUGUCAGAGGUGAAAUUCUUGGAUUUAUUGAAGACUAACUACUGCGAAAGCAUUUGCCAAGGAUGUUUUCAUUAAUCAAGAACGAAAGUUAGGGGAUCGAAGACGAUCAGAUACCGUCGUAGU